GACGCGAGAUCGGGAGGCUUCUGGCAAUUCGCAGAGUCAUGGCCUGCUGCUGACUGACGCGGCAUCGUCAAUGGCGACUAGCAACUGCAAAAUCACAACCCUAAAAUUUUGGGGUUUCCACGUUAUUGUUUACUAAUUGUAGGUUUGGGUAUUUUAUAAUUUGUUUGAUAUAUAAAUUAUUAUGAUUGUGCAUAGAAAUUGGAAGUUUAUGUUGUUUGUGGUGCUUUCAAAGUAAAUAUUCGGGAUAUAGUGAAUUUUUUUUUAUAUUUUACUUCAAAGAUCUUUUUCUCACAAGAUGCUUGUUUUGCAGAGGGGUGAAAGUUUUGAAGAAAUAGAAGAAGAAAGAAAGAGUAGUAGCCAUGAUUGAUUUCCUCUGCUCAGGAGCUUGGGAUUUGAGAGUAAGCAUGACUCAGAAGAUCUCUAAUUGU
rnacentral:lncRNA from 1 species